rnacentral:rRNA from 1 species
UACAGAGGUUCCAAGCGUUGUUCGGAUUCACUGGGCGUAAAGGGUGCGCGGGCGGUCGGGUAAGUCUGAUGUGAAAUCUCCGGGCUCAACCCGGAAAGGGCAUUGGAUACUAUCCGGCUGGAGGGCUACAGGGGGGACUGGAAUUCUCGGUGUAGCAGUGAAAUGCGUAGAUAUCGAGAGGAACACCCGUGGCGAAGGCAAGUCCCUGGACAACUCCUGACGCUCAUGCACGAAAGCUAGGGGAGCAAACAGG